GACGAACGCUGGCGGCGUGCUUAACACAUGCAAGUCGAACGAAAAGAGGGAAAGAGCUUGCUCUUUCCGGAAUUGAGUGGCAAACGGGUGAGUAACACGUAAACAACCUGCCUUCAGGAUGGGGACAACCAGACGGAACGACUGCUAAUACCGAAUAAGUUCCAAGAGCCGCAUGGCCCAUGGAAGAAAAGGUGGCCUCUACCUGUAAGCUAUCGCCUGAAGAGGGGUUUGCGUCUGAUUAGCUGGUUGGAGGGGUAACGGCCCACCAAGGCGACGAUCAGUAGCCGGUCUGAGAGGAUGAACGGCCACACUGGAACUGAGACACGGUCCAGACUCCUACGGGAGGCAGCAGUGGGGAAUCUUCCGCAAUGGGCGAAAGCCCUGACGGAGCAACGCCGCGUGAGUGAUGACGGCCUUGGUU
rnacentral:rRNA from 1 species